GGGUGGUAAUGCCGGAUGCUCCAGUUGAUCGCAUGGUCUUCUGGGAAAGCUUUCGCGGUAUGGGAUGGGGUCGCGUCCUAUCAGCUUGACGGCGGGGUAACGGCCCACCGUGGCUUCGACGGGUAGCCGGCCUGAGAGGGCGACCGGCCACAUUGGGACUGAGAUACGGCCCAGACUCCUACGGGAGGCAGCAGUGGGGAAUAUUGCACAAUGGGCGCAAGCCUGAUGCAGCGACGCCGCGUGAGGGAUGGAGGCCUUCGGGUUGUAAACCUCUUUUAUCGGGGAGCAAGCGUGAGUGAGUUUACCCGUUGAAUAAGCACCGGCUAACUACGUGCCAGCAGCCGCGGUAAUACGUAGGGUGCAAGCGUUAUCCGGAAUUAUUGGGCGUAAAGGGCUCGUAGGCGGUUCGUCGCGUCCGGUGUGAAAGUCCAUCGCUUAACGGUGGAUCCGCGCCGGGUACGGGCGGGCUUGAGUGCGGUAGGGGAGACUGGAAUUCCCGGUGUAACGGUGGAAUGUGUAGAUAUCGGGAA
rnacentral:rRNA from 1 species